UGCAGUCGACGGGAUCCGAGCUUCGGUUCGGUGAGAGUGGCGAACGGGUGAGUAACGCGUGGGAACCUGCCCAGAGGUACGGAAUAACAGUUGGAAACGACUGCUAAUACCGUAUGAGCCCGAGAGGGGAAAGAUUUAUCGCCUUUGGAGGGGCCCGCGUCAGAUUAGGUAGUUGGUGGGGUAACGGCCUACCAAGCCGACGAUCUGUAGCUGGUCUGAGAGGAUGAUCAGCCACACUGGGACUGAGAUACGGCCCAGACUCCUACGGGAGGCAGCAGUGGGGAAUAUUGGACAAUGGGGGCAACCCUGAUCCAGCAAUGCCGCGUGAGUGAUGAAGGCCUUCGGGUUGUAAAGCUCUUUUGCCAGGGACGAUGAUGACGGUACCUGGAGAAUAAGCCCCGGCUAACUUCGUGCCAGCAGCCGCGGUAAUACGAAGGGGGCUAGCGUUGUUCGGAAUUACUGGGCGUAAAGGGCGCGUAGGCGGUCUGAUAAGUUAGGUGUGAAAUUCCCGGGCUUAACCUGGGGGCUGCAUUUAAUACUGUCAGGCUUGAAUCCGGGAGAGGAUAGCGGAAUUCCCAGUGUAGAGGUGAAAUUCGUAGAUAUUGGGAAGAACACCAGUGGCGAAGGCGGCUAUCUGGACCGGCAUUGAC
rnacentral:rRNA from 1 species